UACAGAGGGGGCAAGCGUUGUUCGGAAUUACUGGGCGUAAAGGGCGCGUAGGCGGCCUGUUAAGUCGAACGUGAAAUCCCCGGGCUCAACCUGGGAACUGCAUCCGAUACUGGAUGGCUUGAAUUCGGGAGAGGGAUGCAGAAUUCCAGGUGUAGCGGUGAAAUGCGUAGAUAUCUGGAGGAAUACCGGUGGCGAAGGCGGCAUCCUGGACCGACAUUGACGCUGAGGAGCGAAAGCCAGGGGAGCAAACGGG
rnacentral:rRNA from 1 species